GUUAUCGUGUGCAAUGGUACGGUCGUACCGUCAUACGGUACGCAAUGUACGAAGUGAUCAAUUUCUAACCUAUACAUGCGAAUCUGUCACUCUUCAAGCAUAAAUUCCAAUUGUUGAUCAAGAACCGAUACAUCCGACAUUACUGAAGAUACAUUUCAGAAGAAAUCGAUAAACCAUGAAAUUCAGAUUUUUAGGCGAUGGGGAUUGCCCCGAUUGGUUGCUGGCUGAGAUCAACACGUUGUCACGUAUGACAUCGAUCAAAAUCAAACUACUGGGUCAAACGGUUGCAAAGUAUCUUACGGAGAGCGAUCUCGAUGAAGAGAAGGUCAGAAAAAUUACUCAAGACGCUAAGGUUGAAUUAAACGACGCAAAGGCUAUGGUGGCAGCUCUCGAAUUAAUUUUCACAUCGUCCGCUCGAUAUGGCGUUUCCGCUGCUGAUUUAAGCAGCGAAUUACAACAGCUGGGACUGCCUCGCGAACAUAGUGCUGCGAUUGCCAGACUACAUACGGAUCAUUGUCCUCAAAUUACAGCCGCACUUUCUUCGCAGUCUUUAAGAGUCAGCAGAUUAUCGUCGAUCGAAGUUCUAUCCUGCGACAGUUCCUCGCCAUUCUCCACGGUGUCCCUCAAAUUGAAGAAACUGGACGGAAACGUGGAAGAUUCCGUUAUUAAUAUAUCAAAAAAGGACGUUCAUGUUCUACUGACAGAACUACGAAGAGCCAAAUCCUUGAUGGAAAAUCUCUAAACACUUGAAAAUUACAUUCUACGCAACGAAAUCAAUAUUUCGCAAUGAAAGCGGCGACCAUUUCCGGUAAAGGAUAGAAAGGGAAUAUACUUACUUUAUUGAAAAUAAAUAUCUCUUCAAAUUAAAAAGAAGAAAGUUUUUAAGUAAAUGAAAACCAUGAGAGUACAAGGAAAAAGUAUUGCUAAGGCCUGGGUAAUUGUACGCGAAAUGUAUUCCGCAAUCAAUUGAAGAAAACAGCGAUGAAUGAAAACAAAUGCAUUUAGACACUGUUUUUGUUUAUCAUCGGUUCUGCAACGAAUCUACAGCCAACGGGACGACGAACACAACGUGAUACAGUUAUCUCUCGAUAACUCAGCAAGCGACUCAAUCAGCAACUCGAUCAACAGCUGUGUCAACUGUGUCUUAGACCAAAUCGACUUACCCCUAUAUAGUCUCCCCACCUCUCGGGUCAAUCUUUGUUUUGUUUUAAGGCGAGCUGCAUAAUUAUUUCAUACCUCUGUUGUUACACGCCCAUCCCAUGACCGUGGCUACGUUCGGUGACUCGUUAUGUCACUUUGAAUCCAAGCCCAUCAUCAUAAACCCUGAGUACACCUAAUUGGAUUAGCGCCUUACAACUAUCUCGUAGUUUUAUCGCUUAAAGGUAGCUACGAUAAGCUAGGGUAUUGGCAACAAUUCCAAAAAAUAGGCCCCGAUGUCCUUUCAUCUCUGACAUAUAUUUUUAGAAUAUUUCCGUUUAUUACUUAGUAAAAACUGUAGUAAAACGUACAAAGAAUAUCUUUUUAUCUCGAUGUAAAGAUAGUAAGAAAGGAGCAAUAAAUAAGACAUGUCUUACGACUGUAUAAAAUAUUAAUACUUUAUUUUCCAUUCGAGUGUGCGUCACAUUACGCACUGUGGGAUAUGUACAAAGUUUGUCGUACCGAAGCUCUCACUUUCGCCUGGUACAACCAAUCGCGCAACCUAUCGAUUAAAAAUCAUAUUUUUACGUGCUAGGUUUAAAAAGUAACGCAUAAGUGUGAUUCUUACAUCCAUCUUGAUUUUUCAUAACUCUUUGUUUUCAUUCUUCUGCACACUCUUUCGCCGUGAGUGAGAUUUAAAAAAAAAAAAAAAAAAGCUACACAUGCUGUUUCGAGCGGUGUAUGCGGUGUCUGAGGUAUAUCAGUGGUAUGUCUAUUGCGUUGGUUUACUGCGAACGAAAAAAUCGGGGAAAACAACUGACGAAAUCUACGAAACGAGAAAACAACAUAUGUAAUAGUGCGUAUAGUGAUCGAUGCGAGUUCGUCAUUGAGCGCGUGUACUAUUAUUUUCGUCCGUCGAAUCUGGCAGUGAAUCCUCGUCACAGAGGAAAAUUGAGCUUCAAUCUCUUCUUGGUACGAGUUUAAAAUGUGUCUAUUGAUAUUCGCGGAGCGUGGCUAAGAUUAGGAUUGCUGAGAGGAAGCGUAAUCACGUGACGUUGAAUAAAGUGAAACUCUGUACUCGCAUCGAACGAAGGAAAAAAAAAGAAAAGGACAUAAUCGGAUUCUCGCGUAUACCACGAUUAUUCGUGGAAGAAGGAAAAAAAUGAAAGAAUUUCUGUGGCGCUAGAUUAUUUUUCGUUCGGUGAUAUUAAAGAAGGAAAAGAGUGUCGCAAGCUCGUCGUGUUCUUACUAAGCUAAAACAGGGGCGGAAUAACGGGGUUGUUCGACUGGAACGAGACGCGAUUUAGGAACAGGCUCGCAACCUAGGAUCACAGAUCUCCAAACAGUUCUAUUUCAUGACAAGCGCGACUACUUUAUCGUCAUUUCGGUUUUUCUCCUUCGCUUUUCCAAGUUAUUUUACUAUGUAUUUUUAUACAUGCUUACAUCUAUACUGUUAAUAAUUUGCCUUUUUUUAGAAUUCGUCCAUUCGUAAUUACACGAUACAUAGUGUUACAAUGUAACAAAAUAACGAAGAAUAUUGUGUAAAUGAGGCAAAUAAACGUCGAUGCAGAUUCAUAUAAAAAAAA